UACGAAGGGGGCUAGCGUUGUUCGGAAUCACUGGGCGUAAAGGGCGCGUAGGCGGCCAUAUAAGUCGGGGGUGAAAGCCUGUGGCUCAACCACAGAAUUGCCUUCGAUACUGUAUGGCUCGAGACCGGAAGAGGUAAGUGGAACUGCGAGUGUAGAGGUGAAAUUCGUAGAUAUUCGCAAGAACACCGGUGGCGAAGGCGGCCCACUGGAUCGGUACUGACGCUGAGGUGCGAAAGCGUGGGGAGCAAACAGG
rnacentral:rRNA from 1 species